rnacentral:lncRNA from 1 species
CCCCGCUUACAAGUUUUUCUAGGUGUUCAAAAAAACUAAUAAAAUAUUAAUGUCUAUAAAAUGUCUAAUAUGUCUUGGUUCUAGGACUUUUCUUUCAACAAGAAAAAAUGGUUAACACUGUUCAAUACAUUUGUCUGAUAUUUUGAUAAAUAAGUAAAGUAAAUUUGAUAUGGGAUUACUCAUUCAUGAGUACUUUUGUUAGAUAUCUGAUUUAUUUACUAUAUAAGUUUGUAUAAGUUUGUUUUUACAAUCGGUCAUGUGUUAAAAAGACAAAAUUUUCUUAAAACAUAAGUUUACCCAUAACAUUGUGUUUAUUAAGUUUUAUUUUUUUCUAGAGCAAGCAACCAUAAAAAUUAAGCAACUGGUUAAAUAAGAACUGUUAUUUUAGAGCAUUGUACUGCCAUUUCUUUAAAAGCUAAACUUGGUUAAUAUAGAAACAUCAAUGUAAUUGUGAUGCUAUUAAUGUGCUCAUAUCUUCCAGGUAUACAAGUCUAUAAGGUAGAAGCUUUAAAGAGCAUUAUAUCAAGCUGGUGUUCUAAAGUUGUUUGGUAAAAAAAAUAUAUUGGGAAUUUAUUUACCUGUUAUCAAUAAGAUAUGUAAAGUGUUAUGUUACUUUUUACAUUGGGGAACAAUUUAAAUGUAUUUUUAAGUUAAUGAGAGCCUAAUCUAUGUAAAGGUUAAAAACUUUCAGCCUUUCUUUAAUUCAUGUUUUAAAUGUGAUAUCAUAUGGUGUUAGCUAAUGUUCAUGUGACCUCAAACAAUUUAUGUAAACUUUGUAAAAUGAUAUUUAAAAAGCAAAGAUCAGCUUUAGAACUAGAACACUUAAGAUUUAUAAAGAGCCCUGCCUUACCUGAGACAAUGUAAGAGUAAAAGAAAUUGAAAUUAAAGUGUAAAAGACCGGGUAUCGUAAAGUUUCUAAGCUGCAAAGCCUGAGUUAAAAUGUAAAGGACCAGGUAUUGUUAAGUUCCUAUGCUACACCCCCAAAACCUGAAAUUCCUGGAGCUGUUAAAACAAUUCCUGGGACUGUCCAGUAGAUAAAUAACCUAGGACCCUGUGCAGUUUGGCACGUAGGCAUUCAGGGCCCAAACCAAUCAGUUUGAAUGUACCCCCCCUUCCCGCCCGACCUGUUCCCGCCAAUGAAUGUGCUAAUCAAGUUUGAGAGUUGUUGUUUGAUUUUCCUGCGCCUCAUGAUGAUUUGCUCUGACGUAUGCAGAGCCCCCGCCCUCCCCAAAAAGUGUACUUAAGCACUGUUCAACCCCUGCUCUGGGCUCUGGGCCGCUCUCCCUUGUUGAGUGAGCUUGGAGCCCCAGCACGCUGGAUUGGAUCCUCA